AUGCAAAUCAUGGAUGAAAUUUAUAAGAUCGCUUCCACAGAAAGGAUCCAGCAGUUAGAAAAAGAACUGGCUAUGCGCCUGACUGACCUGAAGUCUGAGAUAGAAGAAUGGGAGACUCCUCGAGCUUACAGCUCUGUUCAAAUACCAAAAGACAUUUCUUACUUUAGAAGAGAAAGGGAACUGGCUCUAAAGAAAACCUUACAGGUGGCGGAGUCAAAGCCCCUUGUUGUUCAAGCAGAUGUCAUGCAGAGGGAGCUAGAGAGCUGUCUAAGAAGAGAGUACACCCCUGAAAAUUUACCUUUGCUUCUAUUGCAGUAUUAUACAGAGAGAAUUACCCAGCUGGCCCAGAGUAAAUAUUUACACAUGCUUAGAUGGAAGAGGUUUUGCCAGCACAGUAAGAUUAUGGAGCAACUUUAUCCUUUUUACAAGGUAAGAAACCUAGAAAUAGAAUCUGAUUCUAGGUUUGUGGGCUCUUUUUUAUAGUGAAACAAAAUGGUCAAUACAUUUGUCAGUGCAUAUUAUUAAAUAUAGUCAUUAUACCUGUACAUUAGAUCUCUAGACUUAUUCAACCUUCAUAACUGC
rnacentral:lncRNA from 1 species